UGCUCCCUCUAUCUCUCUCUCUCUCUCUCAAAUCUCUCUCUCUCUCUCUAUGAACUGUCUGCAACAAAGAACCAUCCUAAUCCGCCACACAUCACCAUCUCCAUCUAGAUCCACCACACCAUCACACCGCCUCCAUCCAGAUCCGCCACACCAUACCACCACCUCCAUCUGAAUUGCCACACAACACCUCCGCCUCCAUCUAGAUCUGCGACAACCACCACCACCGAAAGAAAAAACGUUAUUGUACGGUGAAGAAAGUCAAGGAUGAACUUAUUUUGGAUGGAAAUGACAUUGAGCUUGUUUCCAAAUUGUGUGCCUUGAUUAACCAGAAAUGUCAUGUGAAGAACAAAGAUAUCAGAAAGUUUCUUGAUGGUAUUUAUGUCAGUAACAAGGCAAAGAUAGAUGCGGGUGACAAUUAGUCGGUGGUUGUUAAUGGUGAUGGGUGGUGGUCUUUGAGAGGAAGAGAGAUAGGUGGUGCUAGUGAGGUGUUUAGGUGGUCGUUGUGAUGGUGGCUUGGGUGGUGGCCGGAUGGUGGUUGGAAUGUCAUUGGUGAAGCUUUAGGCUAAAAGUUAGGGAGAAAGAGGGUGUUGACUUGAAAGAGCUAUAAUUGUACCCCACGCGCGUUGCGUUGCGGUUGCAUUACGUUGCGGUCCACAAUUUUUCGUAAACGCUCAAGGAGUCCUUUCACCUGUCAUUUUUAAGGUAAGAAAUACAAACUAUGCGUAAGCAAUUAAAACG
rnacentral:lncRNA from 1 species